rnacentral:rRNA from 1 species
UACGUAGGGUGCAAGCGUUGUCCGGAAUUAUUGGGCGUAAAGAGCUCGUAGGCGGUCUGUCGCGUCGGCUGUGAAAACUCGGGGCUCAACUCCGAGCUUGCAGUCGAUACGGGCAGGCUAGAGUUCGGCAGGGGAGACUGGAAUUCCUGGUGUAGCGGUGAAAUGCGCAGAUAUCGGGAGGAACACCAGUGGCGAAGGCGGCCUUCUGGACCAGUACUGACGCUCAUGCACGAAAGCGUGGGGAGCAAACAGG